UACGUAGGGGGCGAGCGUUGCCCGGAAUCAUUGGGCGUAAAGGGCGCGCAGGCGGCCUGAUUAGUCGUGGGUGAAAUCGUUCGGCUCAACCGAGCGGGGUCCUGCGAAACGGUCGGGCUGGAGCAAGGCAGGGGGUCGUGGAAUUCCCGGUGUAGUGGUGGAAUGCGUAGAGAUCGGGAGGAACACCAGUGGCGAAGGCGGCGACCUGGGCCUGUGCUGACGCUGAGGCGCGAAAGCGUGGGGAGCAAACAGG
rnacentral:rRNA from 1 species